rnacentral:rRNA from 1 species
CCCCACUGCUAUCGGGAUAGGACUAAGACAUGCUAGUCGAGUGACUCAGGCAAAACGAGUCACGGCACACAGCUCAGUAACACGUGGCUAAUCUGCCCUUGGGACAAGAACAACCCCGGGAAACUGGGGCUAACUCUUGAUAGGCGAAGAACACUGGAAUGUGUCUUCACCCAAAAAACUUCACGUUAUCCUCGUGAAGUCGCCCAAGGAUGAGGCCGCGACCGAUCAGGUUGUUGGCGAGGUAAUGGCUCACCAAGCCUUUUACCGGUGCGGGCCGUGGGAGCGGGAGCCCGGAGAUGGGUACUGAGACAAGGACCCAGGCCCUACGGGGCGCAGCAGUCGCGAAAACUUUGCAAUAAGCGAAAGCUUGACAGGGCUAUCCCGAGUGCCAUCCGCUGAGGAAGGCUUUUACCCAGUCUAGAACGCUGGGGGAAUAAGGAGAGGGCAAGUCUGGUGUCAGCCGCCGCGGUAAUACCAGCUCUCCGAGUGGUGUGGAUGUUUAUUGGGCCUAAAGCAUCCGUAGCUGGCUAAGUUAGUCCCUUGUUAAAUCCACCGAAUUAAUCGUUGGAUUGCGGGGGAUACUGCUUGGCUAGGGGACGAGAGAGGCAGACGGUAUUUUCGGGGUAGGGGUGAAAUCCUAUAAUCCCGGGAAGACCACCAGUGGCGAAGGCUGUCUGCUAGAACGCGCCCGACGGUGAGGGAUGAAAGCUGGGGGAGCGAACCGGAUUAGAUACCCGGGUAGUCCCAGCUGUAAACGAUGCAGGCUAGGUGUUUGGACGGCCACGUGCCGUUCUAGUGCCGCAGGGAAGCUGUUAAGUCUGCCGCCUGGGGAGUACGAUCGCAAGAUUGAAACUUAA